AUUGAACGCUGGCGGCAGGCCUAACACAUGCAAGUCGAGCGGAGCGGCGGACGGGGGAGUAAUGCCUAUGAAUCUGCCAGGGACUGGGGGAGAACGUCAGGAAACGGGCGCGAAUACUGCAUACUCUCAGAUGAGCCUAGGUCGGAUUAGCUAGUUGGUGGGGUAAAGGCCUACCAAGGCGACGACCCGUAGCUGGUCUGAGAGGAUGACCAGUCACACUGGAACUGAGACACGGUCCAGACUCCUACGGGAGGCAGCAGUGGGGAAUAUUGCACAAUGGGCGAAAGCCUGAUGCAGCCAUGCCGCGUGUGUGAAGAAGGUCUUCGGGUUGUAAAGUACUUUAAGUUGGGAGGCGUUACCAGCAGAAGAAGCACCGGCUAACUUCGUGCCAGCAGCCGCGGUAAUAC
rnacentral:rRNA from 1 species